rnacentral:rRNA from 1 species
CCUACGGGGCGCAGCAGUGAGGAAUAUUGGUCAAUGGACGAGAGUCUGAACCAGCCAAGUAGCGUGAAGGAUGACUGCCCUAUGGGUUGUAAACUUCUUUUAUAAAGGAAUAAAACGAGGCACGUGUGCCUUUUUGCAUGUACUUUAUGAAUAAGGAUCGGCUAACUCCGUGCCAGCAGCCGCGGUAAUACGGAGGAUCCGAGCGUUAUCCGGAUUUAUUGGGUUUAAAGGGAGCGUAGAUGGGUUGUUAAGUCAGUUGUGAAAGUUUGCGGCUCAACCGUAAAAUUGCAAUUGAUACUGGCAGUCGUGAGUACAGUUGAGGUAGGCGGAAUUCGUGGUGUAGCGGUGAAAUGCUUAGAUAGCACGAAGAACCCCGAUUGCGAAGGCAGCUUACUAAACUGUGACUGACAUUGAUGCUCGAAAGUGUGGGUAUCAAACAGGAUUAGAUACCCGAGUAGUC